rnacentral:rRNA from 1 species
AUUGAACGCUGGCGGAAUGCUUUACACAUGCUAGUCGAACGGCAGCACGGACUUCGGUCUGGUGGCGAGUGGCGAACGGGUGAGAAAUGUAUCGGAACGUGCCCAGUCGUGGGGGAUAACGUAGUGAAAAUUACGCUAAUACCGCAUACGAUCUAUGGAUGAAAGCGGGGGAUCGCAAGACCUCGCGCGAUUGGAGCGGCCGAUAUCAGAUUAGGUAGUUGGUGGGGUAAAGGCCCACCAAGCCAACGAUCUGUAGCAGGUCUGAGAGGACGACCAGCGACACUGGGACUGAGGCACGGACCAGACUCCUACAGGAGGCAGCAGUGGGGAAUUUUGGACAAUGGGCGAAAGCCUGAUCCAGCCAUUCCGCGUGCAGGAUGAAGGCCCUCGGGUUGUAAACUGCUCUUGUACAGAACGAAAAGGUUUCUACUAAUACUAGGAGCUCAUGACGGUACUGUAAGAAUAAGCACCGGCUAACUACGUGCCAGCAGCCGCGGUAA